rnacentral:rRNA from 1 species
UACGAAGGGGGCUAGCGUUGUUCGGAAUUACUGGGCGUAAAGCGUUUGUAGGCGGUUAUCCACGUCAGUGGUGAAAGCCCAGGGCUUAACCCUGGAAUUGCCAUUGAAACUGUAUAGCUAGAGAAUGUUAGAGGUUAGUGGAAUUCCUAGUGUAGGAGUGAAAUCCGUAGAGAUUAGGAGGAAUAUCGAUGGCGAAGGCAGCUAACUGGGACAUUUCUGACGCUGAGAAACGAAAGCGUGGGUAGCAAACAGG